GAUGAACGCUGGCGGCGUGCCUAAUACAUGCAAGUCGAGCGAACAGAUGAGGAGCUUGCUCCUCUGACGUUAGCGGCGGACGGGUGAGUAACACGUGGAUAACCUACCUAUAAGACUGGGAUAAUUUCGGGAAACCGGAGCUAAUACCGGAUAAUAUAUUGAACCGCAUGGUUCAAUAGUGAAAGACGGUUUUGCUGUCACUUAUAGAUGGAUCCGCGCCGAAUUAGCUAGUUGGUAAGGUAACGGCUUACCAAGGCGACGAUGCGUAGCCGACCUGAGAGGGUGAUCGCCCACACUGGAACUGAGACACGGUCCAGACUCCUACGGGAGGAAGCAGUAGGGAAUCUUCCGCAAUGGGCGAAAGCCUGACGGAGCAACGCCGCGUGAGUGAUGAAGGUCUUCGGCUCGUAAAACUCUGUUAUUCGGGAAGAACAAAUGUGUAAGUAACUAUGCACGUCUUGACGGUACCUAAUCAGAAAGCCCCGGCUAACUACGUG
rnacentral:rRNA from 1 species